AGUGGGAUUGUUGGAUUAUGUGGUGGUUCUAUAUUAGUUUUUAAAGGGAUAUCCAUGCUGUUUUCCAUAAUUGGUAUAAUAAUUUUCAUUUCCACCAAUAGU
rnacentral:pre_miRNA from 1 species